rfam:Phialocephala scopiformis strain CBS 120377 unplaced genomic scaffold LY89scaffold_13, whole genome shotgun sequence.
AGGGGUGUAGCUUAGUGGUAAAGCUCACAAUAAUUAUUGGAAAGCAUGUGCAUUGGCGCGGCCUGAUGCUCGGGUACCCAGUGGGCAUCUGGUGGAAGCUCGCGAUUCUGCCGGUGUUAGUCCUGGGGUGCCAUGUGGACCAUUUAAAUUGUGGAUCACUGGUUCGAAUCCAGUCGCCUCCA